UUCCCAGUUUUAGUAACAUACAAUACCGGAGUACAGCAAACCCCAAUGUCUCCCUCCAUCUUGAAUGUCAGUGUUGCAACUGUCCUACAUUGCCAUGUUGUAAAGGCUGAUAUUUUGAAAGCCUCAAAUUCUAAUUUAACAUACAUAAACACGCAAAAAAACAAAAACAAAACAAAACAAAAAGAAUUAAAUCCACCCAUCUGUACUUCACGCUUAGUCAAUAACCCAUAUCUUCAGGCUUAGCUCACGCUAUGAUGCUCUUCAGCUUAUGCUUAUUUAUUUGUCCACUAAUAUGUUAUACUGGUAACAGAACAAAGUGUCCAAGGUUUAAAACAAUUACAGCAUUUAUGAUGAAAGUCCUGGCAAGCUUGUUGAAGGAGAAUCUUUGCUUACGUCAUCGCAUUUUUCCUCAUUAGCAUACGACUUUCCACAGAGAAGGGAUCAGACACGAAUUGUUUACUUGUGAAACGUAGCAAUCGGUGAAAUUUUGGCUCUUUGGGUAUGAUAUUCGAGGAGAAAUUGGCUUUCAAAAACUGUAACUUUCCUGGGGGGCAAAAGGGUUAAUGAACUCAUACAUUCUUUGUAAAAUUUUGAGUCGCACAAAAAGUAUCCAAUACAUCGCGAGAAUACAGAUAAUUGAAACACUAGGUGGCGCAAGAUUUGAUAAUCCUACAGUUUUUACGUUCCUACGUUCCUAGCAGAAGCUCUAAAUUGUCGGAUGAUUACUGAGUUUGGUCAGAUCACCAGGCAACUUUUUUGGCUGAGUGCUACACAAGUUCAGAAGAACACCAAGAGGGAAAAACGUCGUUACAAAACGCCUGCUAAAGAAUGCGUUUAUCACCAGGGAAGGUAAGAUUGUUCUUUUUUUUGUUAUUUAGUUCAGUUUCAGUCACAGAUCAAAGUAGUUAGGCUUCGAACUCGGGGUUUCAUUUGUUGAGCGGUGGACUGUUAAGAAGAAAAACAGGAUUGUAAUCUUAAGGUCAUCUUGAAUGCUCUAAUUUAUGGAAAUUUAUAUGACUUAUAUGAUAAGUCAAAUUGCCCCUACGAAGGGCACCAACAUGGCGUCUCCCGUACAAAACUCUAUAAAUUUGGGUGAGACACUUUUCCGAAUAACGCGGGAAUGAAUAACCGUACAAACCUAAAUAUGGCUGGUUUGCAGUGUCACGCCAUCAAAAA